CCUUUUCUUUGCUUUCAGAAUACUUUUGGUGCCGACCGUCUGAUCAUUAAUAAACAAUAUCCUUAAAGGGAGCGGCUACAAAAGGCAUUUUAAAUAGCACUGUGGACAGAGUGAGCAUUACACAAAACACUCAAACUGUUUAAUGACAAUUUCCCAAACACAUCUGGAAGCUAUAAAAACCAUAUAUGGCAGUUAUACAUC